GAUGAACGCUGGCGGCGUGCCUAAUACAUGCCAGUCGAGCGAACGGACGAGCAGCUUGCUUCUCUGAUGUUAGCGGCGGACGGGUGAGUAACACGUGGAUAACCUACCUAUAAGACUGGGAUAACUUCGGGAAACCGUAGCUAAUACCGGAUAAUAUUUUGAACCGCAUGGUUCAAAAGUGAAAGACGGUCUUGCUGUCACUUAUAGAUGGAUCCGCGCUGCAUUAGCUAGUUGGUAAGGUAACGGCUUACCAAGGCAACGAUGCAUAGCCGACCUGAGAGGGUGAUCGGCCACACUGGAACUGAGACAGGGUCCAGACUCCUACGGGAGGCAGCAGUAGGGAAGCGUCCGCAAUGGGCGAGAGCGUGACGGAGCAGCGCCGCGUGAGUGAUGAAGGUCUUCGGAUCGGAAAACUCUGUUAUUAGGGAAGAACAGAUGUGUAAGUAACUGUGCACAUCGUGACGGUACCUAAUCAGAAAGCCACGGCUAACUACGUG
rnacentral:rRNA from 1 species